rnacentral:rRNA from 1 species
CCUACGGGAGGCAGCAGUGGGGAAUAUUGGACAAUGGGCGCAAGCCUGAUCCAGCCAUGCCGCGUGUGUGAAGAAGGCCUUAGGGUUGUAAAGCACUUUCAGGGGUGAGGAAGGGUGAUAGCUUAAUACGUUAUCAUUUUGACGUUAGCCCCAGAAGAAGCACCGGCUAACUCUGUGCCAGCAGCCGCGGUAAUACAGAGGGUGCAAGCGUUAAUCGGAAUUACUGGGCGUAAAGCGCGCGUAGGUGGUUUGUUAAGUCGGAUGUGAAAUCCCAGGGCUCAACCUUGGAAUGGCACCCGAUACUGGCUAGCUAGAGUAUGGUAGAGGGGUGUGGAAUUUCCUGUGUAGCGGUGAAAUGCGUAGAUAUAGGAAGGAACAUCAGUGGCGAAGGCGACACCCUGGACUAAUACUGACACUGAGGUGCGAAGGCGUGGGGAGCAAACAGGAUUAGAUACCCUGGUAGUCCACGCCGUAAACGAUGUCUACUAGCCGUUGGGUUGUAAUGACUUAGUGGCGCAGCUAACGCAAUAAGUAGACCGCCUGGGGAGUACGGCCGCAAGGUUAAAACUCAAAGGAAUUGACGGGG